rnacentral:rRNA from 1 species
GUGAAUACAUAGCAUAUCAGAAGGCACACCCGGAGAACUGAAACAUCUUAGUACCCGGAGGAAGAGAAAGAAAAUUCGAUUCCCUUAGUAGCGGCGAGCGAAACGGGAAGAGCCCAAACCAACAAGCUUGCUUGUUGGGGUUGUAGGACACUCUGUACGGAGUUACAAAGGACGACAUUAGACGAAUCAUCUGGAAAGAUGAAUCAAAGAAGGUAAUAAUCCUGUAGUCGAAAAUGUUGUCUCUCUUGAGUGGAUCCUGAGUACGACGGAGCACGUGAAAUUCCGUCGGAAUCUGGGAGGACCAUCUCC